AGCGAAUUCGUUUCCUACCAAAUGUUCAAAUGAUAAAAGCUGUCCUGGAAACCUGAAAUGCUGUAAUCAAGGAUGUUCAAUCGAUUGCACAAAUCCAGGGAAUCCAUGUCCACCAGAACCCGUAUGUCCGUCAUCUCCUGUAGGACCAGGGGAUUGUGAACCGAAGUGUAUAUUUGAGUAUGUGACAAGUACAAAUGGGGUCAGAUGUAAGGUUGCUUGUACUAGGGGUCCACUUGGUCCUCGACCUGGUCCUGAUCACCCUUGUCUACCGACAGAGUGUCCUUUAAUUGGUCAAGGAAAUGACCAGGGAGUAUCAGCUCUGCCACCACCUCUACCAGUUCAAC